CCGUGCAAAGGUAGCAUAAUCACUUGUCUCUUAAAUGGGGACCUGUAUGAACGGCAUCACGAGGAUUUUACUGUCUCCCCCUACCAAUCAGUGAAACUAAUCCCCCUGUGAAAAAGCAGGGGUAUAUAUACAAGACGAGAAGACCCUAUGGAGCUUAAAAUUAAUAACACUUACUACUUCCCUUUAAACAUAAUCACUUAGUAUCGUGCUUAUACAUUUUCGGUUGGGGUGACCCCGGAGUAAAGCCAAACCUCCACGCUGUAUAUUUAAGACCCCCCCAUUCUAUCAAUCAAUAAAAUUUGACAUAUUGACCCAAAAACUUGAUCAACGAACUAAGUUACCCUAGGGAUAACAGCGCCAUCCACUUCAAGAGUACAUAUCAWCAAGUGGGCUUACGACCUCGAUG
rnacentral:rRNA from 1 species